UACGUAGGGGGCUAGCGUUGUCCGGAAUCAUUGGGCGUAAAGAGCGUGUAGGCGGUCCGGUAAGUCCGCUGUGAAAGUCGGGGGCUCAACCCUCGAAUGCCGGUGGAUACUGUCGGGCUAGAGUGCGGAAGAGGCGAGUGGAAUUCCUGGUGUAGCGGUGAAAUGCGCAGAUAUCAGGAGGAGCACCUAUUGCGAAGGCAGCUCGCUGGGACGUUACUGACGCUGAGACGCGAAAGCGUGGGGAGCAAACAGG
rnacentral:rRNA from 1 species